AACCUUGCGCAGUGACAAUAUUGUAACUGAUGAAGGUCUCUUGAGGUGUGAUUAUUGCUAGUUGAAACUUUCCACUUACAAUGAUAUUAAGCACAAUAAAAUAUUUUAUAUAAAUCUGUCACUAAA
rnacentral:snRNA from 1 species